rnacentral:rRNA from 1 species
GUUCGAUCAUGGCUCAGAACGAACGCUGGCGGCAUGCCUAACACAUGCGUCGAACGAAGGCUUUCCGGGCCUUAGUGGCGAACGGGUGAGUAAUGUAUCGGAACGUGCCUAGUAGCGGGGAUAACUACGCGAAAGGUACAUUACUGCAUACGCCCUUCGGGGAAAGCGGGGACCUUCGGGCCUCGCACUAUUAGAGCGGCCGAUAUCGGAUUAGCUAGUUGGCGGGGUAACGGCCCACCAAGGCGACAGAUCCGUAGCUGGCUUGAGAGGACGACCAGCCACAUUAUCAGACUGAGAUACGGCCCAGACUCCUACGGGAGGCAGCAGUGGGGAAAUUCCCGACAAUGGGGAAACCCCGACUGCUCAUCCCGCGGGGCAGAUGAAGUCUUCGGGGUUCAGCACUUUUGGCAGGAGAAACGGCACGGAUAAUACCCCGCAACUGACGGUACCCAUCAAGCACGGCUAACCACGUGCCAGCAGCCGCGUAAUACGUAGGUAGCAGACCGGAAUUACUGGGCGUAAAGUGUGCGGCAGGCGGUUCGAAAGAAAGAUGUGAAAUCCCAGAGCUUUAACUGGGAACCGCAUUUAACCACUGAUAGAGUGUGUCGAGGGGAGGUGAAUUCCGCGUGUAGCAGUGAAAUGCGUAGAUAUGCGGAAAGAACACCGAUGGCGAAGGCAGCCUCCUGGGAUAACACUGACGCUCAUGCACGAAAGCGUGGGGAGCAAACAGGAUUAGAUACUUCCCGGUAGUCCACGUCCACGCAAACGAUGUCAACUUAGCCGUUGGGGCCUUCGUGUUUGGGUAGCAGCUAACGCGUGAAGUUGACCGCCUGGGGAGUACGGUCAAAGAUUAAAACCUCGUGCGAAUUGACGGGGACCUGCACAAGCGGUGGAUGAUGUGAUUAAUUCGAUGCAACGCGAAAAACCUUACCUACUCCUGACAUGUUCGAAUCCCGAAGAGAUUUGGGAGUGCUCGCAAGAGAACCGGAACAUAUGCGCUGCAUGGCUGCUCGCUCGUGUCGUGGAGAUGGGUUAAGUCCCGCAACGAGCGGCAACCCCUGGCCACAGCGGCAUGAAAGGGCACCUCAAUGAGAUCGCCGGUGACAAACCGGAUGAAGGUGGGGAUGACGUCAAGUCCUCAUGGCCCUUAUGGGUAGGGGCUUCACACGUCAUACAAUGGUCGGGACAGAGUGGUCGCCAGUCCGGCGAGGGGGAGCCAAUCCCAGAAACCUGAUCGUAGUCCAGAUCGCAGUCUGCAACUCGGACUGCGUGAAGUCGGAAUCGCUAGUAAUCGCGGACUGCGUUGUCGCGGUGAAUACGUUCCCGGGGUCUUGUACACACCGCCCGUCACACCAUGGGAGGUUUACCAGAAGUAGUUAGUCAACCGCAUGAGGGCGAUUACCACGGUAGGAUUCAUGACUGGGGUGAAGUCGUAAUAAAGGUAA